rnacentral:rRNA from 2 species
GCAUGCGAUCAUACCAGCACUAAAGCACCGGAUCCCAUCAGAACUCCGAAGUUAAGCGUGCUUGGGCGAGAGUAGUACUAGGAUGGGUGACCUCCUGGGAAGUCCUUGUGUUGCAUUCC